GACGGUGUACUAUGAGACCACCCCCUCGGCCCAGAACUGUAACUUUCACCUGACUAUCGAGGCGGUGGGCCCCAACAACUCCACAAAUGCCGGCAUGACUGCUCCUCACCUGGUCGCCUGUGCAAAAUAUAAGCCUCCCCCCAACGAGUUGUUCACAGAGUCCAGUCUGACGGUGAUGAAGAUCCAGCUGCCCACAGGUGUGGAAGCGUUCCUGGAGGACCUGAGACA